rnacentral:rRNA from 1 species
UACGAAGGGGGGCUAGCGUUGCUCGGAAUCACUGGGCGUAAAGCGCACGUAGGCGGAUCUUUAAGUCAGGGGUGAAAUCCCGGAGCUCAACUCCGGAACUGCCUUUGAUACUGGGGAUCUUGGAGUCCGGGAGAGGUGAGUGGAACUGCGAGUGUAGAGGUGAAAUUCGUAGAUAUUCGCAAGAACACCAGUGGCGAAGGCGGCUCACUGGCCCGGUACUGACGCUGAGGUGCGAAAGCGUGGGGAGCAAACAGG